rnacentral:rRNA from 1 species
CCAAUAGCGUAUAUUAAAGUUGUUGCAGUUAAAAAGCUCGUAGUUGAACUUCGGGAUCAAGGGAUCGGUCAUGCUUUUGUAUGUACUGGUCUUAUUGGUUCUCACCUUCUAAAGAACCAUAAUGUCAUUCAUUUGAUGUUAUGGGGAAUUAGGACUGUUACCUUGAAAAAGUUAGAGUGUUUAAAGCAGGCUCACGCUUGAAUACAUUAGCAUGGAAUAAUGAAAUAGGCCGUUUGAUUCUAUUUUGUUGGUUUCUAGGAUCGACGUAAUGAUUAAUAGGGAUAGUUGGGGGCAUUAGUAGUCAAUUGUCAGAGGUGCAAUUCUUGGAUUUAUUGGAGACUAACUACUGCGAAAGCAUUUGCCAAGGAAGUUUUCAUUAAUCAAGAACGAAAGUUAGAGGAUCGAAGACGAUCAGAUACCGUCGUAGUCUUAACCAUAAACUAUGCCGACUAGGGAUCGGAUGAUGUUGAUUUUAUAAUGACUCAUUCGGCGCCUUACG